GGAAUGUGUGCGUGGUUGGAUUGAAGGUAGAUCACUUCACGCUUGCGAGCAGCAACGACAACACACAAUUUUUAACACAGUUGUUAAGUCUGGUUGUAAUUUCAUAGGUGUUCAAUGUCUCAAACAGUAUUUAUAAGAGACGAACAUUGCUACCCUUGCCUGAAGGAGUUGUCUUGCAUAGUUCAGGUGUACGUUUCCAUUUUCCAAAUAUGGUUUUGGUUUUUCGUAUCUGGCAGUCAACACAGCAAUGUUAGAUGGGGUACAAAUCCAGAAACAGCCAUAAUGUAAUAGACGAGUGGUAUCUUGCGAUUAUUCAAUUAAGUAAAGCUAAAAGCUCUGAAGCCUAAAGGAAAGUUCUGUAAAGCUUAAAGGUUCAAAUGAAAUCCACAAGUGGCAAUCAAGGUAUGGUCGGAGUAGUUUCUGACGGAGGUAUAAAACGAGAUUUGCAGGUUGGCAGUAAGAUUCAUAAAGAUCAGAUCUACUAGAUGAGA